rnacentral:lncRNA from 1 species
GCUGGAACCUGGAGCUCCUGAGGGAAGGCGUGUGGUCUGCCCGCCCUUGCUCGGGUGUUAACAAGGAAGCCCCACAGCGCUGCUGGCCCUUGGGCCAAGAGCUUCAGGACCAGCGGCCGACACUGACCCUGUAGACGCCCGCAGGCAGAGGACUCGGGCAGGGGCGCACGCGGGGACCCAGACACGGCGAGGCGACUGGGGAAGGAGAGGCAGCUGCCCUCUCCGCUGGGGACCCACCGUGGUGAUGUAGCGCGAGUGGAACUCGGACGCCUCCUUCAGGAACGACAGCCCCGGGUGCGUGUUCACCACGUCCUGCGGGUGGGAAGACACGAGGCGCGCGGUGUAGACGCCGGCCCUCCCGUGAGGUGUGCGGUGUGGACGCUGCAGACGCGGGCCCUCCCAUGAGGUGUGCGGUAUAAACGCGGGCCCUCCCGUGAGGGAUGAGGCCUGUGGUGUAGACGCGGGCCCUCCCAUGAGGUGUGCGGUGUAGACGCGGACCCUCCCGUGAGGGAUGAGGCGUGUGGUCUAGACACCGGCCCUCCCGUGAGGCAUGCGGUGUAGACGCGGGCCCUCCCGUGAGGCAUGCGGUGUAGACGCGGGCCCUCCCAUGAGGCGUGCGGUGUAGACGCCGGCCCUCCCGUGAGGCAUGCGCUGUAGACGCGGGCGCUCCCAUGAGGUGUGCGGUGUAGACGUGGGCCCUCCUGUAAAGGAUAAGGCAUAUGGUGUAGACGCCAGCCCUCCCGUGAGGGAUAAGGCCUGUGGUAUAGACGCAGGCUCUCACCUGCAAGAAGGGGACAAAGUCCUCCUGCACCAGGUAGUUGCAGCUGGGGCUCAUGAGCAGAUGGACGAACUUGGCCGUGUCAUCGUGGCAGUUCUGGAGGAUUCUGGAAGGACAGGAUGACUGGGCACCACCCUCACAGGGGGGUGGCUUUCGACCCCACAGACGCAGGGUGGGAACAUGUGUGUGGUGUUCCACGUGGUGCGUGGCAGGUGGCCGCACACGACGGCCAGGCCUGUGCCCAUAUAAGGGUUUCUCCUCUCACUGCGGCAGCCUCAGGGGGCACCCGUCCUGGCACCACGGGGACCUGGGGACACCUCCGCCCUCCCGACACAGCCCCCUGCCCAGCCCAGGACUCACUUUCUCCACAUGGUGACGAACUUGUGGACGGACACGGAGCCCGUGCGCUCCCCGCCGGCGCCAUAGAAGAGUGGCCCCUUCCAGUAGAGGGGGCAGCUGCAGGCCUGGGGCAGAGAGGGCAGGAGUGGGCAGUCAGCGGGGCCUGGACGCCGGCGCUCCUGCUGCGUACCUCGCGCCUGACCGACGCUGCCCAGAGACCCUCUGCUGCAGAAAGACACAGCACGCUCAGCGAGGCCUGUCCGGGCGUCUGCAAACUCAACGUGGCUUUCGCUCCAGCCUUCAAACAGUCACGAGAGCUGAGCGUGGGAGUGCCGGGCACGCAGUCUCCCCUGACCACAGACCACGCGUGGGCACUGUAACCAGAGGCGGCUGCAUCCCCAGCGUCUGGAAAUCAAGCGGCACGUACUAAGAACCAGUAAGUAUGGGAAUAAAUGGCCCCGUCAGCCAGGCAACGCGGUGAAUCGGACGGCGACAGAAACAUCUCAUGGAAUGUGUGGGACGCACCUACAGCAGCGACCCAUGGCAGGUUCACAGCCUUAAAUACACGCGUGAGGAAGGAAAGUUUAAAAUCGAUCGUCUACACUUCUACCCCAAAGGAACAAAUACAUGGCAGAGAUGCAACGAAAAGUAAAUAGUAACAGAAAAUCAACAAAAUCAAAACUCAAUGAUUUGAAAGAUUUCUUAAAAAUUAAUUAACCCUGGCUAGACUCGGUGGCUCAUGGCUGUAAUCCCAGCACUUUAGGAGGCCAAGGGGGGUGGAUCACCUGAGGUCAGGAGUUGGAGACCAGCCUGGCCAACAUGGUGAAACCCUGUCUCUACUAAAAACACAAAAAUUAGCCUGGCAUGGUGGCAGACGCCUGUAAUCCCAGCUACUCGGGAGGCUGAGGCAGGAGAAUCACUUGAUCCUGGGAGGUGGNNNNNNNNNNGGCAGGGGGCAGGGGGCAGGGGGCCGCUCCGCACCUGCAGGAAGGAGCUCCUCCGCAGCUCGGCGCAGGUGAUCCUGCCGGACCAGGACCGGUUCACGGCGUAGAAGAUCCGCUGGAUGACCUGCGGGGGCGCCGUCAGUGCGGUGGGUGCGCAGACCCCCAGGAGCCCCGCCCCACACGGAGACCGGGAGCCAGGAGAGGGGCGCGGCCUUGGUCUCAGCCGCACCGGGCCCGCCAGGGCACAGGCGGGGGCAGCGGGAAGGGCCCUGCGGGAGGCGCCACCCCAGGCCGCGGAAAGCGGGGAGGGUCUGGCCGGGGACGCCCCGGAGCUACACGGGUCCAGGACAGGUGGGAAAGGGGCGCGGCCACCCCGAAAACCAGAGUCCCCCCAACACCGGGCUCCUGGGCGGGCGGAGACCCUCCCAGGGCGCGGCCGCCUCCUCCGAAAGCUCAGGACCCCCGGGCCCCGCCCGCCCCGCUCCGCAGAAGCCCCGCGGCGGCCGCUGCAGAAACACCCGCGCCCCGCGCUGGAACCGAUGGCCUCUCCGCUGGGGACCCACCGUGGUGAUGUAGCGCGAGUGGAACUCGGACGCCUCCUUCAGGAACGACAGCCCCGGGUGCGUGUUCACCACGUCCUGCGGGUGGGAAGACACGAGGCGCGCGGUGUAGACGCCGGCCCUCCCGUGAGGUGUGCGGUGUGGACGCUGCAGACGCGGACCCUCCCGUGAGCGAUGAGGUGUGCGGUGUAGACGCCGGCCCUCCCGAUGUGGUGUAGACGCGGGCCCUCCCAUGAGGUGUGCGGUAUAAACGCGGGCCCUCCCGUGAGGGAUGAGGCCUGUGGUGUAGACGCCGGCCCUCCCGUGAGGCAUGCGGUGUAGACGCGGGCCCUCCCAUGAGGUGUGCGGUGUAGACGCGGGCCCUCCCAUGAGGGAUGAGGCGUAUGGUGUAGACGCCCGCCCUCCCGUGAGUGAUGAGGCAUGUGGUGUAGACGCGGGCCCUCCCAUGAGGUGUGCGGUGUAGACGCGGGCCCUCCUGUGAGGGAUGAGGUGUGCGGUGUAGACACCGGCCCUCCCGUGACGGAUGAGGCGUAUGGUGUAGACGCGGGCCCUCCCGUGAGGCAUGCGGUGUAGACGCGGGCCCUCCCGUGAGGGAUAAGGCGUAUGGUGUAGACGCCAGCCCUCCCAUGAGUGAUGAGGCAUGUGGUGUAGACGCGGGCCCUCCCAUGAGGUGUGCGGUGUAGACGCGGACCCUCCCGUGAGGGAUGAGGCGUGUGGUCUAGACGCCGGCCCUCCCGUGAGGCAUGCGGUGUAGACGCGGGCCCUCCCGUGAGGCAUGCGGUGUAGACGCGGGCCCUCCCGUGAGGCGUGCGGUGUAGACGCCGGCCCUCCCUUGAGGCAUGCGCUGUAGACGCGGGCCCUCCCAUGAGGUGUGCGGUGUAGACGUGGGCCCUCCUGUAAAGGAUAAGGCAUAUGGUGUAGACGCCAGCCCUCCCGUGAGGGAUAAGGCCUGUGGUACAGACGCAGGCU